rnacentral:tRNA from 1 species
GAGGGUACAGCUCAGUGGUUAGAGCACGUGCUCAGCAUGCACAAGGUCCUGGGUUCAAUCCCCAGUAUCUCCA